GACGAACCGAGCGAACGUUGUUCGGAAUAACUGGGCUUAAAGGGCGCGUAGGCGGGCUGUCAAGUCUGGGGUAAAAUCCCGCGGCUCAACCGCGGAACCGCCUCGGAUACUGACGGCCUCGAGGGGGGUAGGGGCGAGCGGAACUAAUGGUGGAGCGGUGAAAUGCGUUGAUAUCAUUAGGAACUCCGGUGGCGAAGGCGGCUCGCUGGACCUCUUCUGACGCUGAGGCGCGAAAGCUAGGGGAGCAAACGGG
rnacentral:rRNA from 1 species